GACGAACGCUGGCGGCGUGCCUAAUACAUGCAAGUAGAACGCAGUUGCGAACGUGUGAGUAACGCGUCGGUCACUGCCUGGUAGCGGGGGAUAACUAUUGGAACCGAUAGCUAAUACCGCAUACUACUAGAUGGACCUGCGUUGUAUUAGCUCGUUGGUGAGGUAACGGCUCACCAAGGCAACGUUACAUGACCGAGCUUGGAGGGGUGUCCGCCAAACUGGGAAUGGGAAACGGGCCAGGAUCCCACGGGAGGCAGCAGGAGGGAAUCUUCGGCAAUGGGGGGCACCCUGACCGAGCAACGCCGCGGGAGUGAAGAAAGUUUUCUGAUCGUAAAGCUCUGUUGUUAAGGAAGCGGUACUUACCCAGAAAGGGACGGCUAACUACGUGCCAGCAGCCGCGGUAAUAC
rnacentral:rRNA from 1 species